rfam:Schistosoma mattheei strain Denwood, Zambia genome assembly, scaffold: SMTD_scaffold0000116
GCCUUUCUGAGGAGUGCCAAAUAGCACGAAACCUGGGUCCAGGGU